UUUAUAAAGAGUUUGAUCCUGGCUCAGGACGAACGCUGGCGGCACGCCUAACACAUGCAAGUCGAACGGUGAAGGUAAGCUUGCUUACCGGAACAGUGGCGGACGGGUGAGUAACACGUGAGCAACCUGGCUCUGAGAGAGGGAUAGCUUCUGGAAACGGAUGGUAAUACCUCAUAAAAUAUAUUUCCCGCAUGAGAGAUAUAUCAAAAGAAAUUCGCUCAGAGAUGGGCUCGCGUCUGAUUAGAUAGUUGGUGAGGUAACGGC
rnacentral:rRNA from 1 species